rnacentral:rRNA from 1 species
AACGCGAAGAACCUUACCUGGGCUCGAAGCGUAGUGGACCGAGGUAGAAAUAUCUUUUCCCCGCAAGGGGCCGCUACGUAGGUGCUGCAUGGCUGUCGUCAGCUCGUGUCGUGAGAUGUUGGGUUAAGUCCCGCAACGAGCGCAACCCUUAUUGGCAGUUGCCAUCAUUUAGUUGGGCACUCUGGCGAAACCGCCCCGGAUAACGGGGAGGAAGGUGGGGAUGACGUCAAGUCCUCAUGGCCUUUAUGUCCAGGGCUACACACGUGCUACAAUGGUUGGUACAAACCGUCGCAAACCCGCGAGGGGGAGCUAAUCGGAGAAAGCCGGUCUCAGUUCGGAUAGCAGGCUGCAACUUGCCUGCUUGAAGUUGGAAUCGCUAGUAAUCGCGGAUCAGCACGCCGCGGUGAAUACGUUCCCGGGCCUUGUACACACCGACGCGUA